rnacentral:misc_RNA from 1 species
UCUCCGUAGGUGAACCUGCGGAGGGAUCAUUACAGAGUUCGCGCCCUCGCGGGUAGAUCUCCCACCCUGUGUUAUUGCUACCUUUGUUGCUUUGGCGGGCCGCCCUCGGCUACCGGCCCCGGCUGGUACGCGCCCGCCAGAGGACCCCAAACCCUGAACGUCAGUGUCGUCUGAGUACUAUACAAUAGUUAAACUUUCAACAACGGAUCUCUUGGUUCUG